rnacentral:lncRNA from 1 species
GUUCAUAUCAGGAAUGGGUGUGUGUUUAUAGGGGAUCUAUCGCUCUCGGUAGAGAGAUAAUUAGUUCUAUGCUAUUUGUACGGCAAAGCUCAGAAAUCCUCGGCCGGGGUAAUAUGGUGUAUGGAAAGAUGUUUUCAAGAGUAACCAUAAGAGCUUCUGUCUGAUCAAAUUUAUCAUAUGACGGGUGAUGGGGUUUGACGAAUAUUCCAUGACCUCCACUCAGUUGGAACUAUGCGAUAGAAGGAUUGUAUUGUACGAUAAUUGCACCUAGAGGUUCAGUCCGAUAUUCAUUUCUGACUGGAUUGCCACUACAUGCUGCUAGGCGUCACUGGUGGAUUGUGGGAACCAAUAGAAAUAAUUAUUAACAAUUAAUUAUUCUAUUAGGGUAGAGUCAAAAGAGUUUGAGCCAUCGAAAGGAGUUUCGAUGAUGAUGUAGGUGGAGAUCGCAUCAUAUCUCACUACCAGACAGAAUUGAACCUAUUAGGUCACACACAUAAGAAAUCGCGCAUGAUCGAUAUUUAGGAAAUGAUAAAAGAAGUUUAUCAGAUGGAUUAAUUACAAUUAUAAUAUAGUUAAAUACUAAAGUUUACUAAUUUAUUAGUAAAAGGACUAAUUUGCAAUUGUUGUAAAUUAGAGGUAUUUAUGUGUAAAAGUUGUAUGGUGUAUUUACUAAUCGUUAGUAAAUAAUAUGAGGACUUAUGUGUAAAUGUUACACACGAAUCGAAUUAGAAUUAGGAUUCGGAAUUCGGUUAAUAUCAUAACAAACUUGCGGGUUGAUGGAUAAUCAAAUCGGAAUAGGAUUUCGAUUAGGAUUACGUUAGGAUUUUCUCAUUAUAAAUAUAUGUCAUAUGACAUAUUAAAAUUAAUGGAAAAUUAAGUAAAAAGGAAAAAAGAAAACCCUAGCCGUCAAUCCUUUUUCUUUCUUAAGUCCUCCACAAUAAAUCCAUCGAUUUCGAUCUUCAAAAGUUGCUAGCACAUCUAGAAGAUUGAUUCAUCUUCCUCAAGUCGACGCAAGAGAUUAAUUCGUGAUCGGAUCACGGAUUGAAGCGGUCGUCUAAUUCGAUCAAGGGCGUGAUUUUGUGUGGACGCGAGUAGAGGCCGGGUGCGUGCGCGGCUAACCGAGGACGAACAAAUUUUACCAACGAUUGUCGACUUCGCGGUGAUCUCGACCCGCGCGAGGUAAAAUAAAAUAAUAUAGAUCCUAUUUGAUUAGAUCAAUUAGAUCUAUUAUUAAUGAUCUAAAACGAAACACGAGGUGAUCUUUGGUUUUCAAGAAAAUUUUUAAUUGUGUUAUUUUCUUCCGCUGCGUACACAUGAUUUUCUUACAGUGGUAUCAGAGCUACCCUCGUCGUUUGUUUUAGAUCUAAUCUCUUUUUCGAUGUUAAUUGGGUUUUUUU